rnacentral:rRNA from 1 species
GACGAACGCUGGCGGCGUGCCUAAUACAUGCAAGUAGAACGCUGAAGGAGGAGCUUGCUUCUCUGGAUGAGUUGCGAACGGGUGAGUAACGCGUAGGUAACCUGCCUGGUAGCGGGGGAUAACUAUUGGAAACGAUAGCUAAUACCGCAUAAGAGUAGAUGUUGCAUGACAUUUGCUUAAAAGGUGCAAUUGCAUCACUACCAGAUGGACCUGCGUUGUAUUAGCUAGUUGGUGGGGUAACGGCUCACCAAGGCGACGAUACAUAGCCGACCUGAGAGGGUGAUCGGCCACACUGGGACUGAGACACGGCCCAGACUCCUACGGGAGGCAGCAGUAGGGAAACUUCGGCAAUGGACGGAAGUCUGACCGAGCAACGCCGCGUGAGUGAAGAAGGUUUUCGGAUCGUAAAGCUCUGUUGUAAGAGAAGAACGAGUGUGAGAGUGGAAAGUUCACACUGUGACGGUAUCUUACCAGAAAGGGACGGCUAACUACGUG